rnacentral:rRNA from 1 species
UGGGGAACCUUAGACAAUGGGCGCAAGCCUGAUCUAGCCAUGCCGCGUGUGUGAUGAAGGCCUUAGGGUCGUAAAGCACUUUCGCCAGGGAUGAUAAUGACAGUACCUGGUAAAGAAACCCCGGCUAACUCCGUGCCAGCAGCCGCGGUAAUACGGAGGGGGUUAGCGUUGUUCGGAAUUACUGGGCGUAAAGCGUACGUAGGCGGAUCAGAAAGUAGGGGGUGAAAUCCCGAGGCUCAACCUCGGAACUGCCUCCUAAACUCCUGGUCUUGAGUUCGAGAGAGGUGAGUGGAAUUCCAAGUGUAGAGGUGAAAUUCGUAGAUAUUUGGAGGAACACCAGUGGCGAAGGCGGCUCACUGGCUCGAUACUGACGCUGAGGUACGAAAGUGUGGGGAGCAAACAGGAUUAGAUACCCUGGUAGUCCACACCGUAAACGAUGAAUGCCAGUCGUCGGGCAGUAUACUGUUCGGUGACACACCUAACGGAUUAAGCAUUCCGCCUGGGGAGUACGGUCGCAAGAUUA